rnacentral:rRNA from 1 species
AUUGAACGCUGGCGGCAUGCUUUACACAUGCAAGUCGAGCGGUAACAGGCCGCAAGGUGCUGACGAGUGGCGAACGGGUGAGUAAUGCAUCGGAACGUGCCCAGUCGUGGGGGAUAACUACUCGAAAGAGUAGCUAAUACCGCAUACGAUCUAUGGAUGAAAGCGGGGGACCGUAAGGCCUCGCGCGAUUGGAGCGGCCGAUGUCAGAUUAGGUAGUUGGUGGGGUAAAGGCUCACCAAGCCAACGAUCUGUAGCUGGUCUGAGGGGACGACCAGCCACACUGGGACUGAGACACGGCCCAGACUCCUACGGGAGGCAGCAGUGGGGAAUUUUGGACAAUGGGCGCAAGCCUGAUCCAGCAAUGCCGCGUGCAGGAAGAAGGCCUUCGGGUUGUAAACUGCUUUUGUACGGAACGAAACGGCUCUGGUUAAUACCCGGGGCUAAUGACGGUACCGUAAGAAUAAGCACCGGCUAACUACGUG